CACACAGCCUGUGGGACGUCAGCAACGUUUCCAGCCACAGAAAGCGGGAAGCAUAUCACAAGGAAUACAGGUUAAGGUGCAAGGCGAAACAUCCCAAAACAGGGUUUUUUGUUUUUUUUUAACAAAAAAAAAAAUUAUUGUUGUUGUUUUAUGAUCUCACAAAACACCCGCAGAAAAGAACAGCAACAGCAGCAACAGCCACACUUAGUGACGGAGGAAGAAACUGAAGCAGAGAAUGUUUCCUCUUUGGGGCGCACUCUCUGCUCCCUGCCAAAGACAGAGGACAAAUUUUGCCCAAGCGAGGGAAGCAGGGAUGCAACAGGUAGCUUUUGUUACGUAGCACAUGCAGGGGGUGGUUAGCCCAGUUCUUAAAAACAUCAAAAUGAAAGAGAGAGAGAGAAAGGGGGGUGGGGGGGUGGGAGAAUCACCCCAAACUUAGAAAACAUGGUUUCAAAGAGGUUGCAGCAAUUACAUUUUUUACGGCACUUUGUGAAAACUCUGCAUGCACCAGGUGGGGAGAGGUGAAGAAGUGAGGUGGGGUGUGGAAAGCGCUGGCCACUUAACAUCCCCCCACCCCCAAUCAUGCCAUGUCCCCAUCCCCCUCCUCCUUUAAAAGCAGCAACCUAACUGUGGAGUGCAAAAGAACAAACAAUCUGAAAGCGGGAUCCAUUGGUAACAAUUCAAGUCCUGGAGGUUUGGUGUUGGUUUUAAAGCAUGGGCUGUUGUGGUGGUGGUUUUGUCAAAGCUCCAAGCUUCUUUCCGGUUCUCUUGUCCCGCACGUUCCCCGUCCUGCAAAUGCCCAAGUCGCAGUGCUGGUGUCGGAAGUGAGAAUCUACUCCAAGCAGAAAGAGUCAGACGGGGUGAAGAGACACCAAGAAAAACUCAAAAUGUCCUUCCGGUUUUGGUUUUGGUUUUGGAAAUGCAUUUUCAUGCAGAAGCUGAGAAAGCGGUGAGGCAAGCGACAAUCCUCUACGAGGAACUUCGAUGAAGGCUGGUAGAAAAUCAGGAUCCAUUUCUAUAGACAAACAGCGAAGUGCGUUUUAAUGUUCUGAUCUCAAAGCAAGCUGGAGAAACGGGCUUGGUUUACGUCCAUCUUCCCUGUCAUGCUGGAUAGAAAAACAACAUAAGGCUUGAAAAGGCAUCGGAGUUACACAACUGCGGGAAAUGAAACUAUCAUUCCUUCACUAUACAGCACGAAGAUUCUGGCCGCCCCUGGGAAACUCAGCCACCUGGAAAUCUUCUCGAUAUAAUGCCAAUUUGAGUUUUUGUGAUGAUCAAGCGAUCUACUGUUAAUAUUCCCAAAAUGUUGGACAGAGAUAAAGGAGGGAAAAUGAUGUAAACAGUGAGAAUUUGAGUGUAUGUUUUGGCAAUAGACUCAGCAUCGUAUAAAAAUACUUGAUAAUAAAAAAAUUUAUCCAUAUAUUAAAAAAAUCAGGACAUGAAUUGAUAGCAGAGUUCUUUUUUUUGUUGUUUGUGCUUGCAGGGCAGACAAAGACACUUCCUUUUACACACACCCUGUUCAUCAGAAAUGCAGCGUUCUUUAAAUUAAAAAGGAGGGGGAAAAUCACCACAUACGAAAUAUAUCAGAAGCAAUUCCAUCAAUCACAAUUCAUCAAAAAAAAAAAAAGCAGGCUUUUAUCAUCAGCAGCUCUCCGUAUUUCUAUAUCAGGAUAAAAGUGCACAGAAUUGUAAUCCACCACGAGGCUGUGAGCGAAAAUGAAAUGGUAUGCUUGGUGAACAUCAACAAAACCCCAAAACCCAGACAUUUUCAAACUAGAGAUCUGGACCACGACCAAGUCAAGUCAAGAGCAUUCUUGGUUUCCUUUCCUUUUUCCUUUUCUUUUCUGUUUGAAAGGUGGAAAAAAAAAAUGUCAUCGUUUUGCAGCAUUGAAGUAAGGCACUCGCCCACGGUGUGUUUCUGCUGCUUAAGGGGGCAGCAGCCAACUCACUUUUUAAACAGACGGAAGACAAGUUUCCUUUCGUGGUAAGUGCUGCAGGUACCUUACACCAUUAUUAUAUAGAAGGAGAAGGGAAAAAUUCACAUUUUUUUCCUCUUCUGUGGAGAAGGGGUAACUGUGUUAAAAUUCAUCUAUAAACUACUGGCUUCUUUUCUUCUUUGCCAAUUAAAGCAUUUUGUAUCCUAAAAUAUUAGUUUUUAUAAAUCUAGUCAUCUGUUUUAAGGCUGUACAAGUCCCAACUCCCCACCCUCCACCCCACCCUGAACCAAUAAGAAACAGCAUUUUUGAUUGGGGCAUUAAAAGGACUGGAACUCUUCUUAUUUCACAGUCAGAAGUCUAAUAUUGCGUCUCCUGUCUCUCUGCCCACCAUCCCAGUGAUGAAAACCUGUGGGGUUUUGUUUUGUUUUUUUUAAUUGAAGGACAGAUUCCCUCCCACGGUUUCAAAUAUUUUGCAUUUGUUUGGUCAGGUAACUGGAAAGCCUGAAAAACAAGAAAGUCUCUCUUGUUUUAAUACUACAAAGGUGUGUCCAUCCAGUUACGCAGUUCUCCUGCGUUGACCCUGGAAAACAAGGGUUGUUUCCUACAAGUGUUUUGUCCGCGGCCUGCAGUGAUCUCUCCAUUGGAUAACCACAAGGUGCUCCAAUGCUUCUUCUUCUUCUUCUUCUUUCUCUUCUUUCUUUCUUCCUCUCUUUCUUUCUUCCUCUCUUUUUUUUGUAUGGCUCCUACCAAUCAGAAAGCUUUCUGGAGUGAGGUAAAAAUGUUGGGUUUUCAAGCAAAGUACAUGGUACGUAAAGUGUCCUGAUGAACUUGCACAGCCUUGGCGAGGGCUUGAGGGUCUCGGCCGUUGCUCUGGCCGGAGAUGUGACUGCCUUCUCCACUAAAAGCACAGAGGAAAAGGGAUGGGGGGAUUAAAACAGAGCGUUCAUUAGGAAGACGAAAGGCAUGAGGAUGGCAGAUUUCUCUUGGCAGGGAAAUCACGGUCAGCAUAAAAUGGCACAGCUUUUAUUCCAGGGGACUUUAAGACUCCAACUCCCAGAAUUCCCCAGCCAGCAUCUUAAAGUUGCCAUGGUUGGAAACUCUGCUCUAGACAAACUGUACACCCCUGCUAGAUGAAAAGGUUUUUUUCCUCCUCCAGAAGUCUAAGGGCAUUGGAGACAAACUAGGGCAGGGGUGUCACACUCAAUUUCAUUGAUGGCCAAUCAGGGCUGUGGUUGGCCUCUGGGGGCCGGGUGGGCAUGGCUGACCAGGUAGGCGUGGCCAGCUUGACGCCACUCCCCAAACUGCUGGCAUGCUUCCUCUUUGCACUGGGUAGACCAGGCCGCAGCGAUGCAGGACGGCCCCGUGGCCUUC
ensembl:lncRNA